CCUACGUGAGGCAGCAGUGAGGAAUAUUGGUCAAUGGGCGCGAGCCUGAACCAGCCAAGUAGCGUGAAGGAUGACUGCCCUACGGGUUGUAAACUACUUUUAUAAAGGAAUAAAGUGAGGCACGUGUGCCUUUUUGUAUGUACUUUAUGAAUAAGGAUCGGCUAACUCCGUGCCAGCAGCCGCGGUAAUACGGAGGAUCCGAGCGUUAUCCGGAUUUAUUGGGUUUAAAGGGAGCGUAGAUGGUUUGUUAAGUCAGUUGUGAAAGUUUGCGGCUCAACCGUAAAAUUGCAAUUGAUACUGGCAGUCUUGAGUACAGUUGAGGUAGGCGGAAUUCGUGGUGUAGCGGUGAAAUGCUUAGAUAUCACGAAGAACUCCGAUUGCGAAGGCAGCUUACUAAACUGCCACUGACAUUGAUGCUCGAAAGUGUGGGUAUCAAACAGGAUUAGAUACCCUAGUAGUC
rnacentral:rRNA from 1 species